rnacentral:rRNA from 1 species
GUGGGGAAUAUUGGACAAUGGGCGCAAGCCUGAUCCAGCCAUACCGCGUGGGUGAAGAAGGCCUUCGGGUUGUAAAGCCCUUUUGUUGGGAAAGAAAUCCUGUCGGUUAAUACCUGGCGGGGAUGACGGUACCCAAAGAAUAAGCACCGGCUAACUUCGUGCCAGCAGCCGCGGUAAUACGAAGGGUGCAAGCGUUACUCGGAAUUACUGGGCGUAAAGCGUGCGUAGGUGGUGGUUUAAGUCCGUUGUGAAAGCCCUGGGCUCAACCUGGGAAUUGCAGUGGAUACUGGAUCACUAGAGGGUGGUAGAGGGAUGCGGAAUUUCUGGUGUAGCAGUGAAAUGCGUAGAGAUCAGAAGGAACAUCCGUGGCGAAGGCGGCAUCCUGGGCCAACACUGACACUGAGGCACGAAAGCGUGGGGAGCAAACAGGAUUAGAAACCCGUGUAGUCC